GAUGAAGAACGUAGCGAAAUGCGAUAAGUAGUGUGAAUUGCAGAAUUCAGUGAAUCAUCGAAUCUUUGAACGCACAUUGCGCCCCAUGGUAUUCCGUGGGGCAUGCCUGUUCGAGCGUCAUUUACCCCCUCAAGCUCCGCUUGGUGUUGGGCGUCUGUCCCGCUUCGCGCGCGGACUCGCCCCAAAGGUAUUGGCAGCGGUCGUGCCAGCUUCUCGCGCAGCACAUUGCGCUUCUCGAGGCACCGGUGGGCCCGCGUCCAUCAAGCUCACCCCCCCAGUAUGACCUCGGAUCAGGUAGGGAUACCCGCUGAACUUAAGCAUAUCAAUAAGCGGAGGA
rnacentral:misc_RNA from 1 species